rnacentral:rRNA from 1 species
CAGCAGCCGCGGGAAUACGGAGGGUGCGAGCGUUAAUCGGAAUUACUGGGCGUAAAGCGUACGCAGGCGGUUUGUUAAGUCAGAUGUGAAAUCCCCGAGCUUAACUCGGGAACUGCAUUUGAAACUGGCAGGCUAGAGUCUCGUAGAGGGGGGUAGAAUUCCAGGUGUAGCGGUGAAAUGCGUAGAGAUCUGGAGGAAUACCGGUGGCGAAGGCGGCCCCCUGGACGAAGACUGACGCUCAGGUACGAAAGCGUGGGGAGCAAACAGGAUUAGAUACCCGCGUAGUCCCUGUCUCUUAUAA